AUACAUAUAAUUUAUUUGUGAAAUUAAAUAAAUAUAAAUGGAUUUACAAAUGGACGUAUAAUUCAUUUGUAAAACUAAAUGGAGAUAAAUAGAAAAAUAGACGUAUAAUCCAUUUGAAAAUUUAAAUGGAUACAACUUAAUCUAUUUAUAAAAUUAAACAAAUACAAACAAAUUUAUAAACGGACAUAUAAUCUAUUUGUAAAAUUAAAUGGAUAUAAAUAGAUUCACAAACAGAUACUAAUUCAUUUGUUAAAUUAAAUUUGUAACGACCUGGAAACCGGACCGCUACCGGCGCUAGGAUCCAAAUCGACUUAAGGUCGCCGGGACCCGUAGCAAGCCUAACAUACAUCCUAAACACCUGAUAAAACCCAAUCUCUCUACAGCUCUCGGAGCAACAAAAGAAUGGGAUGCAUUCCAUGAAAGCAUGUUUUAUAUUAAUGUUUUAUUGUUCUACUCACUGGGCUUUUUAGCUCACCCCCUCCCUUAACCCCCAGGCUUGCAGGGCAGAGUCGGAUUAGGAAGUGGGUGAGGGUAAAGAUGUUGUUUAUGUAAUAGUUUAGUGUGGACAUGAAUUGUAAAAUGAUAUAAAGUGUAAUGUAAGGUAAUGUUUUAGAGUAUUAGUAUUGUGCUUGGUCCUAUGGUCUAUUGUAAUCCCUUUUGUACAUGAUCUGUUUUUAUUAAUGUUUAAUGAUGAUUAGAUGUAAACCAAGCUUGACAUAUGAGUUGUGGACCCAACUAGAGCAUUUGAUGAGGGCUCUAGUAUGGGGGUUUUUAUGUAUACAGUUAUAGUGCAUGCACAGUUUAAGCUGGGUAGACGAAAAGUUCAAAAUCUUUAUGUAAAUAUAUGAUCAUGUAUGGGUUUUAUCAGGUGUUUAGGAUGUAUGUUAGGCUUGCUAUGGGUCCCAGCGACCUUAAGUCGAUCUGGAUCCUACCGCCGGUAGCGGUCCGAUUUCCGGGUCAUUACAAAAUUGAUACAAACGGAUUCGCAAACAGACAUAAAUUAGUUUGUAAAGAAAACAUUUUUCUAAUAUCCUGUAUGUAAAACUGUUAAAGUUACAAAUAGAUUUGUAUUCGUUUAUGAAUUGUGUAUGCAUUUUAUUAAAUUUUUGUAGUGUAAAUACAGUUGCCCUUAAAUAUUUCAACUAUAUGCGUUUCAUUUUGCAUAUACAAAUGUAAUUUUUCUUUCUUUAACUUCAUUAAAAAAUUUUAAAAUAUAAGAUAUACAUUAAUAUACGUUUUAUGUAAUUUUUGCUCAUUCAUGUAACUUUUUAAUACCCUUACCUUUAUCUAUAAUUUUAUAAAUAUAAUUAUUUAUAUAUUAUUUAAUUAAACCUAUUAAAUUUUUAACAAAUAAUUUAUUUAACAUAAAAAUACAUUAAUAUACUUUAAAUUCAAGUUUCUACCAUUUUCCCUUUAAAGUUUUUAUUAUUUAUUAUUUAUUAAUUUUUUAUAUUUCUUUUUCACCCUUAAACUCUUAUUAUUACUUUUAUACUUAUUUAAUAACAAUAAAACUAAUUAUUUUUAUUAUUUAACAAUAAGGUAUUUACACUUAAAUUUGCAAAUUAUUUUAAUUUCACAAAUUUACUUUUACACUUUUAUAAUUUUAGCCAAUUUACAUUUAACUCUUAAUAAUUAUAUUAAACAUCAUUUUUCACCUUAUAAAUUUAUUAAAUUGUCAUACCAUAUUUAAUACAAUGAGUUGAAUUUCAUUUUACUUUUAAAUUUGGAUUCAAUCCUUAUAAUCUUAUUUAAAUUUCUCAUCUAAACCUCACUCAACAUCUCACACUACAAAAAAUUUCUGAAUUACCAACGGAUUUUUCCAUUGGUAAUCUUGAAAAAAUCUAUUGGUAAGCGAAUUACCAACUGAUUAUUAACAGAUUAUGAUCCAUUGUUAAAAAGCUCAUUGGUAAAUUUUUACCAAUGACUUUCAAAUCCGUUAGUAAUACUAACGAAUUUACUAACGCAAUUUCCAUUAUUAUUACUAACGAAUUUUAAAUCCAUUAGUAAAUUGAGAGAAAAAUUAUUUACUAACAGAUCUGAAAUCCGUUAGUAAAUUACCAACGGAUUUCAAUUCGUUGGUAAAUCCGGAUUGAAAUCGUUGGUAAAUCUGUUGAAAAUUUAAAUAAUUUUAAAAUAAUUAUUAUUUCGAUUAAAUAAUAAAUUUUAUUAUUAAUAUUAGUUUUUAUUAAUUCAAUAAGACUUAAAAUUAUAUUAUUAUUGUUACUAAGUUU
rnacentral:lncRNA from 1 species